AAUUUCUCAUUCUUGUAGGCUACCAUUUCUUUUGGCUUAUUACAAAACAACAGGAUGCUGCAGCUUUAUCAAAGUCUACUUAUUUGUCCACUAAAAGUUUAUGGCUAUACGUUUCCAACUAGAACAUCUGAACACCAAUAUAUGGAAUUCUGACAAAGUUAAAACCAGGAAGAGAUCCUAUGAAGGCUGACAUUUUGUACAUCUGUUUUAUAGAACAAUAAAAAUAAGAAGAACAAGAAUAAGAACAGCAACAACAUUUGCAGCCACUGUCUAGACCACAGGAAACCUGGUCAACAACAUAUGGGAUGUCACCAGAUUCAGACUCAGAAGUUUCCAUAAUGCCGUUGCCAACAGCUAGACACAAUGAAGAAACGGCUAUAUAGAGAGAUAAAGAAGCUUGCUCAAGGAUACACAGCCAGAAAGCAAAAGAGUUGGAGUUUGAACUUCGACAGUCUAACUCGAGGUUCUUUCUCUGUGUUUAAUCAGUCAACCACACUGCCUCUUCAGAAGCACGCAUAAUUAGGUGAUCUCCCACCAGAGUGUACCAACAAGUGGAUCGGUCAAGAUAAAUCAUUACAGUGUGUC
rnacentral:lncRNA from 10 species